rnacentral:sRNA from 1 species
UCUAAAACAGCUUUAUGGUUUUCCCAUGG